AACCCCCAGCUAGGCUGGGGGUUCCGGAAAGCUUUCAGCUUUAAGCCAGUUAUUAAAACCCCUUUUG
rnacentral:sRNA from 2 species